AGGCGGGUUUGUCGCUGGCGAAAGUCAGAGGAAAGUCCGAGCAACACAGGGCACUGUGCUUCCUAACGGGAAGUUGUUCGUGAGAGCAAACGAUUGUAGAAGAAAAUAACCGCCCGUUAUUCGGGUAAGGGUGAGAAGGCGGGGUAAGAGCCCACCAGUUUGAUGGUGACAUCAAGUGUUGUACAAGUCACAGGUUGCAAAAUCAAAUAUACCGACGCUGUAGGGCUGCCCGUCCGAUGUCGGGGGGUAGAUUGCUUGAAACACGUGGUGACGCGUGUUCUAGAUAAAUGACAAACGUCCGCUUGCGGAUACAGAACUCGGCUUAUACGCCUACUA
rnacentral:RNase_P_RNA from 1 species